rnacentral:rRNA from 1 species
GUAUUCUAAGGCGCUUGAGAGAACUCAGGAGAAGGAACUCGGCAAAUUGACACCGUAACUUCGGAAGAAGGUGUGCCCUAUUAGUGUGAAGUGAACAACGGAGCAUGAAUGGGUUGCAAAAAAUCGGUGGCUGCGACUGUUUAUUAAAAACACAGCACUCUGCAAACACGAAAGUGGACGUAUAGGGUGUGACGCCUGCCCGGUGCUGGAAGAUUAAAUGAUGGGGUGCAAGCUCUUGAUUGAAGUCCCAGUAAACGGCGGCCGUAACGAUAACGGUCCUAAGGUAGCGAAAUUCCUUGUCGGGUAAGUUCCGACCUGCACGAAUGGCGUAACGAUGGCCACACUGUCUCCUCCUGAGACUCAGCGAAGUUGAAAUGUUUGUGAUGAUGCAAUCUCCCCGCGGAAAGACGGAAAGACCCCAUGAACCUUUACUGUAGCUUUGUAUUGGACUUUGAACAGAUCUGUGUAGGAUAGGUGGGAGGCUUUGAAGCAGGGUCGCUAGAUCUUGUGGAGCCAACGUUGAAAUACCACCCUGGUGUGUUUGAGGUUCUAACCUAGGUCCAUCAUCUGGAUCGGGGACAGUGCAUGGUAGGCAGUUUGACUGGGGCGGUCUCCUCCCAAAGCGUAACGGAGGAGUUCGAAGGUACGCUAGUUACGGUCGGACAUCGUGACGAUAGUGCAAUGGCAUAAGCGUGCUUAACUGCGAGACUGACAAGUCGAGCAGAUGCGAAAGCAGGACAUAGUGAUCCGGUGGUUCUGUAUGGAAGGGCCAUCGCUCAACGGAUAAAAGGUACUCUGGGGAUAACAGGCUGAUACCGCCCAAGAGUUCAUAUCGACGGCGGUGUUUGGCACCUCGAUGUCGGCUCAUCUCAUCCUGGGGCUGUAGCCGGUCCCAAGGGUAUGGCUGUUCGCCAUUUAAAGAGGUACGUGAGCUGGGUUUAAAACGUCGUGAGACAGUUUGGUCCCUAUCUUCCGUGGGCGCUGCAGAUUUGAGGAAGCCUGCUCCUAGUACGAGAGGACCGGAGUGGACACACCUCUGGUGUAUCGGUUGUCACGCCAGUGGCAUUGCCGAGUAGCUAAGUGUGGAAGAGAUAACCGCUGAAAGCAUCUAAGCGGGAAACUCGUUUCAAGAUGAGAUCUGCCGGGGCCUCGAGCCCCCUGAAGAGUCGUUCAAGACCAGGACGUUGAUAGGUCGGGUGUGGAAGCGCAGUAAUGCGUUAAGCUAACCGAUACUAAUUGCUCGUGCGGCUUGACCCC